AUACGGAGGGUCCGAGCGUUAUGCGGAAUCAUUGGGUUUAAAGGGUCCGUAGGCGGGAAUCUAAGUCAGUGGUGAAAUCUUGCAGCUCAACUGUAAAAUUGCCAUUGAUACUGGAUUUCUUGAAUUAGUGUGAAGUGGUUAGAAUGUGUAGUGUAGCGGUGAAAUGCAUAGAUAUUACACAGAAUACCAAUUGCGAAGGCAGAUCACUAACACUAUAUUAACGCUAAGGGACGAAAGCGUGGGGAGCGAACAGGAUUAGAAACCCGAGUAGUCC
rnacentral:rRNA from 1 species